AAUGCCAAUGACCUUGUCUUGUUCCUCUAGGCAGGUUGAAUUCAUCUGCCUGCUUCCAUAGGCUCCAUCCAGACUAAGCUCUACAGGAACUGCCACCGAGACAGAAGUCUCUCUUUCCUCAGUCACUUGGCCCAACUCAAAUAAGUCCAAAGGACAGAAGAGUAAUGUGUGAAGUAGGAGCCACAGGGCAGGAGACGCCAAACCAGAGGGGCUGGAACUCACCUGUUCAGAAGAUUUACAUGGCCGCCUUUGACUUUUAUGACACUGACAAUUCAGAGGAAUAAGACACUUUUAAGAUACUAGUAGAGAGUUAGCUCCUUGGGGCUUGGCGGGUGUCACUUCUUGAGGGUAAGUGGUUUAUGCAUUCUGACUACACCGUGGCAGAGGUGACCAUAGGUUUGUGACAGGGACUUGUACUAAGAGCAAUGUGACCCAUAUCCUCAUCAAUGUCAAGAUGGCUUCUGAUGUUCCCAGCUGAAUGCUGAUAGCUUUUCUUCCCAACUAACAAAGCAAUCUGUGAAGAGACAAAAUUUUUAAAAGGCUUUUAAAAAAUAUUAUUCUAUCUGUCUCCCUGUCUCCCACUCCAG
rnacentral:lncRNA from 1 species